rnacentral:misc_RNA from 1 species
AACCUGGAACGAAUCUACAUC